UACGUAGGGCGCGAGCGUUAUCCGGAAUUAUUGGGCGUAAAGAGCUCGUAGGCGGUUUGUCGCGUCUGCCGUGAAAGUCCGGGGCUCAACUCCGGAUCUGCGGUGGGUACGGGCAGACUAGGGUGAUGUAGGGGAGACUGGAAUUCCUGGUGUAGCGGUGAAAUGCGUAGAUAUCAGGAGGAACACCGGUGGCGAAGGCGGGUCUCCGGGCCGGAUACUGACGCUGAGGAGCGAAAGCGUGGGGAGCGAACAGG
rnacentral:rRNA from 1 species